rnacentral:rRNA from 1 species
GAUGAACGCUGGCGGCGUGCCUAAUACAUGCAAGUCGAACGGACGGACGCGACGCUUGCUUCUCUGAUGUUAGCGGCGGACGGGUGUAUCACGCGUGGAUAAUGUACCUGUCAGACGGGUAACACCUCGGGAAACCGGAGCUUAUACCGGAGAAUAUCCUGCUCCACAGGGUGCAAAGGUGAAUGACGGCGGUGGUGUCACGUCUAGCGGGUUACGCGCUGCAUUAGCUGGUUGGUAAGGUAACGGCUUACCACGGCAACGAUGCCUGGCCGACUGAUGAGGCGGGUAGCCGGCACUGGAAGUGGGCCACGGACCUUACGCCUACGGGACGCAGCAGUAGGGAAUCUUCCGCAGUGGGCGAGAGCCUUACGGAGCAACGCCGCGUGAGUUAUGAAGGUCUUCGGAUCGUAAAGCUCUGUUAUUAGUGAAGAACAGAUUUGUAAGGAACUGUGCACUGCGUGACGGUAACUAAUCAGAAAGCCCCGGCUAACUACGUG